GACCCAUUUCUCCCCCAAACAGAACUGAAUCCAGAGGCUUCCUGGGAGGUGAUAAUAUUGUUAGUGGGACCACUAUUUUUCUGUGGCUCAGGACACAAGAGUUAAUUACAAGUUUCCAUUAUGGUCUUCCUUAUGUUCCUGCCAGAGAGCGAACAGAUCUUUUUCCAUUAGCAAUUUCCCCUGAAAUUCCCCUGUUUUCCUGAUUCUGUUGAUAAGACAGAAUCACACAAUUCCAUCUGGUCCUACAUCUGCUUGUCCCCAUCUGUGUGUCCCUGAAGUGGGAAUAGUCUUGCUCUCUGCAGAGCUUUCUACGGCUGGCCCUGUAGAUGUGGCACAGGAGACCUCACCUUGGGUUGGCCUGCUUGGGUGUAAAAUUGUGAUCUCCAAAGAAUGUGCUGGAUUAUUCUAGUCAGAGUAGAUGAGAAUGGGAUUUGCUGAGGAACUUGUGCUGCCCACCUACAGAAAUGUGAAUUUGUUCAUUUCUCAUUGCCUCCUACGCUUGAGGACUCUUUGCUCUGUGCAUGGCAAGUACAAGAAAUAUGUGGACAAGAAUAUGAAUUUAUGAUUAAUGCAAGGUAGGUUUGUGUGAAAUAUUACAAUUUGCAAAAGCCUGAGAAAUACAAUUUCUUUGAAUUCAC
rnacentral:lncRNA from 9 species